UAAGAUAACUCACCAUCAAAAUCUCUGCUUCCAUUUCAGAAACCGUAGGAUCGUUCACGGUGUCGUGAGCUUUCAUUUGAACCGAACAGAACUGACUCCGAACUGUUAGAUUGAGUGAAACGCUUGAGAAGCACGUUGAGGGUAGGAAAACGGUAUUUGGGCAAGUUAAAAGCAUUCGCUUAGGGAGUUCACUGCUAGACCAGAUGGAGAGGCGCCACUUGAAGAUAUGCUGGAAGAAGAAAAUUUGGCGGACGCCAAUCUAGUCGAGGUGGAGGUUAAGGCCGAGCAGUAGAUCGCUCGUUCUUUAGUAGCUAUUAGUGGCUUUAUUGUUGUUUUGGGACGUUCGGUUGUGUAGUUUUGUAAAACCGCUCGUCCAGAUCUUGACGCCUGUUAUUUAGUUUCUGAACGUUGUAAGUUUUGUGCAUUCGUUUUUAAUAGCUGCUGUA